rnacentral:rRNA from 1 species
UACGAAGGGGGCUAGCGUUGCUCGGAAUCACUGGGCGUAAAGGGUGCGUAGGCGGGUCUUUUAGGUCAGGGGGUGAAAUCCUGGAGCUCAACUCCAGAACUGCCUUUGGUACUGAAGAUCUUGAGUUCGGGAGAGGUGAGUGGAACUGCGAGUGUAGAGGUGAAAUUCGUAGAUAUUCGCAAGAACACCAGUGGCGAAGGCGGCUCACUGGCCCGAUACUGACGCUGAGGCACGAAAGCGUGGGGAGCAAACAGGG